rnacentral:rRNA from 1 species
GCGCCAGACUCCUACGGGAGGCAGCAGUGAGGAAUAUUGGUCAAUGGGCGGAAGCCUGAACCAGCCAAGUCGCGUGAGGGAAGAAGGCCCUGCGGGUCGCAGACCUCUUUGGACGGGGAGCAAGGCCGCCGACGUGUCGGCGGAAGGAGAGUACCCGUAGAACAAGCAUCGGCUAACUACGUGCCAGCAGCCGCGGUAAUACGUAGGGGGCAAGCGUUAUCCGGAUUUACUGGGUGUAAAGGGAGCGUAGGCGGAAAGGCAAGUCAGAAGUGAAAGCCCAAGGCUCAACCAUGGGACUGCUUUUGAAACUGUCAAACUAGAGUACGGGAGAGGUAAGAGGAAUUCCUAGUGUAGCGGUGAAAUGCGUAGAUAUUAGGAGGAACACCAGUGGCGAAGGCGUCUUACUGGACCGAAACUGACGUUGAGGCUCGAAAGCGUGGGGAGCAAACAGGAUUAGAUACCCUGGUAG